GCUGGGUGUGGUGGCUCAUGCCUGUAAUCCCAGCAUUUGGGAGGCCGAGGCGGGUGGAUCACCUGAGGUCAGGAGUUCAAGACCAGCCUGACCAACAUGGAGAAACCUCGUCUCUA
rnacentral:SRP_RNA from 1 species